rnacentral:sRNA from 1 species
GCUGAGUCUUUUUUUUCUUUUAAGGUAAUCCAGAAAUAGACAACAAGAAAUAUUACAAGUACAGCAAAGAGAAGACAUUAAAGUGGCUGGAAAAAAAGGUUAAUCAAACUGUGGCAGCAUUAAAAACCAAUAAUGUGAAUGUCAGUUCCCGGGUACAGUCAACUGCAUUUUUCUCUGGUGACCAAGCUUCCACUGACAAGGAAGAGGAUUAUAUUCGUUAUGCCCAUGGUCUGAUAUCUGACUACAUCCCUAAAGAAUUAAGUGAUGACUUAUCUAAAUACUUAAAGCUUCCAGAACCUUCAGCCUCAUUGCCAAAUCCUCCAUCAAAGAAAAUAAAGUUAUCAGAUGAGCCUGUAGAAGCAAAAGAAGAUUACACUAAGUUUAAUACUAAAGAUUUGAAGACUGAAAA